AAGUCGUAACAAGGUUUCCGUAGGUGAACCUGCGGAAGGAUCAUUAACACGCGUUGUAGUUCAUUCUACAUACACGUAUUUUAUCAAAAAAUAAAAGCCAAACGGUAAUUUGUUAUAAAGCCUGCUCCUGUUGUUGCGCUAGGUGUGAGGGAAUGGGUGUGAUGUAAUAGUCUCUCCUCAGAGCUUUCGGCGUAGAAAAAACGCGGCUCACCUCGGGAGUUCAGUUGAUGACGGUCGUAGAGUGUGUGGAGUCUGCACCAUGACUUGCAUCCUCGGCAAUUACUCCGAACUUUUUAUUUAUACUUAUUCUGAUUUUGUACGUUUGUUUAUGAAUUCCUGACCUUAACACCGUCGGUUGUAGUUUGCAUUCAAAUGUCGCACAUAUUAUUAAUACGAAACAACUCUUAGCAACGGAUAUCUUGGUUCUC
rnacentral:misc_RNA from 1 species